CGCGGAGUCCCUGCGUCCUCUCCACGUGGCCGCGAUCGCUCCUCCGCGCAUCCGCGUCCCCGACCCUCCUGCGGAGAGGUGGCCCGGCGCCCCCCGUGACCGUCCUCGGCGCCCCCGCCCCAUCGGGACCGGGACAGACGCGCAGCCACGACCGCGGACGCGCGGACAGGACCCGCCUCGUGCAGGACCGCGCCCACCGCCCGCCGGCGUCCCACCCGAGAAGGCCGUCCUCAGUUGUCCCGGGGUGAAGACACUGGGCAGUGCCCCCCCACACCUGGUGAAGAUUCAUAAUCACGCCCAGCUACUUUUGCGGGUUACUCUCCUAAAAUGCUGCUGUCAUCUCGCAGGGCAGGUCUUCUUUGGCAGAUUCUGUUGCUAAUAGAAGCCUGGAAGACUCUGGGCUAUGCUCACUCUCUUUGCCUUGACCUCACUGUCAAAUCUCAGUCCAGACCUGGACAGCCCUGGUGUGAAGUCCAGGGCUCAGUGGAUACAAAGCCUUUCAUUCAGUAUGACAGUGACAGCAACGAGGUCAGACCUUUGGGUCUCCUGGGGGAGAAGGUAAACGCCACCAAAGCAUGGACGGACUUGACUCAAACACUGGGAGAAGUGGGGCAAGAGCUCAGGAUGAUCCUGCCUGUCAUCAAACUGGAGAAAAACGGGACCAGGGGUCUUCACACUAUGCAGGUCAAGCUGUCUUGUCAGCGUGAAGCAGAACGAUGCACUGGUGCAUCCUGGGAGUUCAGCAUCGAGGAGCAGACAGCCCUCUUUGACACAAUGACCAUGAACUGGACAGUCGUUGAUCCUGGAGCCAGAGGGAUCAAGGAGGAGUGGGAGAACAACAAGGAACUGGCAGAAUAUUUCAGGAAGAUCUCAGCUGGAGAUUGUAAUCACUGGCUUAGGGAAUUCUUAGAACACUGGGAGAAAGUGCUGGAGCCCGCAGAAUCACCAUUAAAGGCCCCAGACACCCACCAGUCUUCAUCUAUGUGGAUAAUCAUAUCGAUCAUUGCAUCAGUCCUUAUUGGCUCAGUCCUAAUUGGCUUAGUCCUAAUUGGUGUCAUCAUCAUGAAAUGUAGGAGGAGAUCAGCUGACCCACCAUCUGAAGUUUCUUCUCUGGACUGUGAGAAGGAACAGGCUGACCACAGGCAGGAAACACACCUACAAGGUAUCCAUCACAGCUGACAUAAGAAUGGAAUAAUGUGAUGCCUGGAGCCUGUCAAGCCUGGAGACCGACAUCCCUGGACCCCCUCUUUACUGCCCAUUUUCCCUAUAUAACUGCCUCAAGAUUCUGUAAUCUUUGAAGACGGGUCUUUGAGAUAUUAAUCACCUGUCUUCCAAUUUGCUGGCUAAUCUAAUUAAACUUCUUUUGUCAAUCUCUAACUUGUGAUUAAUUGGCUCAGAUCACGGCAAGCAGAGUGAGCCCAUUGCUCGGUAUCAACUCUACAUACUCUGCUGCCCCUCCUGUGUGGCACUUAAUGAUGUAGCGAGGAGACACACACAUGCAAAGGUUCCGCAGUGGGGUUAUACCAAAAUUUAUUGAACCAGCCCUCUACUUGUGCAGAUUUAGGAUGUUUCUAGCUAUUGCUUUUGCAAAACAAUCCUGCAAUAACCAUCUGUACAUACGUUUUUACAAACUAGUAUGAAAGAGAAUGGCUUCAAGGAAGUUACGAUCACCAGAUAACCAGCACCCAGCUGCAGUUGAUGCCCAGAAAUCAGAUUGCCCAAGGGCUCAUCUGGAGUAAAAGAAACAUGGAUUACCCCUUUGUUUCUCCAAAACUCCUCCUGCCAAGCACCUUAGCUCUAUAAAACCCUCUGCUUUCUUCUCUUAUUAAGAUGGAUUUGACAGAACCUAUUCUCCUGCCUUCCCAUUUUGGCCAAUUCAAAACUUUCCCCAUCUCCAAGCACCCAGUGAUUGGCUUACUUCACAUUGGACACACAGACUUGAGAUUAAGAGGUUUGAUAUCACAUCUCUCCCUGUCUUUGCAAGGCACAUCCAACAUUUGUUUAUCAAAUAUUUGCUUUUCCAUCUCCUUGUGAAUUGCCCUCUUUGACACGAUGACCAUGAACUGGACAGUCAUUGAUCCUGGAGCCAAAAGGAUCAAGGAGGAGUGGGAGAACAACAAGGACCUGGCAAAGCAUUUCAAGAGGAUCUCAGCAGGAGAUUGCCAUCACUGGCUUAGGGAAUGCUUACAACACUGGGAGAAAGUGCUGGAGCCAGCAGCUAACUGAGCAGGGGGUGGAGGAUGAGGUAGCUCUCUUUAAGGUCUAAUGCCUUCCCUGUGUGCGUGUGAGUCUGUAUGUAUUUAAAACUUGAUGGAUCGAUCGGUGCAUUGAUUUCUGGUGGACUUGCUCUCUAGCAAGUCAGUGACUGCCAUAGGGCGUCACACCAUCCUCCUUUCUCACUCCCGCUCCCUCAGUGCAGGAGCCCCCUCCCCCAUUAACCCAUGAUUCAGUCGCCCUGGACUGCUAGAUGGUCCCCAAACCUCUAGGCAUCAUUGUGCUUCCACACCUUCUUCUCUUCCUCUGUCGUAGUUAUUGUUUAACCAGCUCAAAUGUCACUUUGGAAGCCUUCACCACCUUCCCAGACAGAACUAAGCACCCCAAUUCUGUCAUCCUCAAAAAGGUCUACCCACAGUAAACGUGUCACCCUGUAUGGUGAUCAGAUGGACAUUUGUUGUCUCCUUGAGUAGAAACAUGAGCUCCAUGAGGACAGGGGACAACCCCUGUUCAUCUUUAUCCCACAGGACCUGAUAGAGUGGCUGUCACAUAAUGAGUCAGUAAACAUGUGGGGGGACAUGUGCUGCCUGGGAAAGUGGGUGUGAGGAAGGUGUAUGUAUUCUUAGGUUUGACAGGGCUUUUGCUUUUUUCUUUGUUUUAGAACCACCAUUAAAGGCCUCAGGCACCCACCAGUCUUCAUCCAUCUGGUUAAUUGUAUGGAUCAUCCUAUGGAUCUUCAUCUCCGUAAUCCUAAUUGGCAUCAUCGUCAGGAAACUCAGAUCAGGUACCAGGGAAGGUGAGAACAGGCUGGCCUCCGGCUCUUGGGGGGGUUGUAGUCUGGUAAGGACUUGGGAGAAGUGAGCCAUGCAUUUCACCGGAGCCCUUGUCCACUGAUCAUCUCUACAUACAGACAAUGCAUUUCUUAGUCUUGAGCCUCGACACUCCACAUUAGCCACAUGAAAUCGUGUAUGCGAAAGUGUUUGGCAAACUUUGAAAUCACAUAUAAUUGUUAGUUAACAUUAUAUCUUAUUAUCAUACAUUAUUAUUUUUCAUAUAAAUAAUUAUUUUAAUAACUAGUAUUUAGAACGUUUGAUGAUACCUUUCGAAGCCAUUCUUCGAAGUUUCUGCUCACAACAAGCCUACACAAGCUCUCUCAGACUACGGCAAAAAGGAAUCUUUAUGUUGCUUCAAGGGCAUCUUAAAGUGGCUUCAGUUAUGUGGGGUAACUCUCUCAUAGGGGGAAGAACCUCCAGCCCACAGUGGUACAGCCCAGACAUAGCCUUUAGGGCUAAGAAGCCAUUUUUUUCAGCCUCAAAGUCAUUCACAUAUGCACUCUCAAAAACACCAAUUUCUCCUUUUCAUGGAGUGGUCAAAAAUAUUGGGCUAUUUUUCUUUCUUCUUGUUUUUCUAUUUUUACUUUCUAGUUCUACUUUCUACUCCGUUCUGGACCUUAAAGCAAUGGGUUCUUAAAUG